rfam:Eucalyptus grandis cultivar BRASTZ1 unplaced genomic scaffold scaffold_56, whole genome shotgun sequence.
CAGUGAAUAACAGCGUAAUUCUCCUUUGGCAGGAGAGAACUGCAUUGGCAUGCAUGCAAAUGUUAAUGCUUUUCUUGCUUCCGCCAAAGGAGAAUUGCCCUGCCAUUCACUU